GUGCUCGCUUCGGCAGCACAUUUACUAAAAUUGGGACGAUACAGAGAAGAUUAGCAUGGAAGAUGAAAAUGUAUACAUUGUACAAAAAUGAAAAAUGAUGUAAAAAU